rnacentral:lncRNA from 1 species
GGAAGCAGGGGCUGGGGGCGGAGUGAGGCCUCGCCCUGGAAAUGCUGUUGGAAGCUCGGUUUCAGAGUUUGUUUAGAUGCAUUCGUCCGUAUGAAGGCGCUUUUGAGCUUAAAAAUGAAACUUGCCAGAUGAGACAUUUCUCAGUCAUGACUUCUGAACACUUUACAGCCUUAGCGUACUCCUAAGACACAGUCUUCUAAGAUCCAAGGACAUCAUCUUACCUGUCUUUUACCCUUUUUUGGAAGCAUCUAAAGAAAAACUGGGUUUUAUGAAGGUAUAUGAAGAUAUCUUCUGAUAUAUGAAGAAUUGACAGGUAUGUAAAAGCCCUCUGUUAGAUUUUCCAUCCAAGUCUGCUUUGUUCACAAACUGCAUAC